GUAAAAAAGCUCGUAGUUGGAUUUCUGUUGAGGACGACCGGUCCGUACCAUGUACGCGCAUCUGGUUCGGCCUCGGCAUCCUCUCGAUAGACGUUUCUGCGCUUGAUUGCGUGGAGCGGAUUUCGGGACUUUUACUUUGAGGAAAUUAGAGUGUUCACGGCAGGCUAUCGCCAGAAUACAUUAGCAUGGAAUAAUACUAUAGGAUCUCGGUUCUAUUUUGUUGGUUUCUAGACCCGGGGUAAUGAUUAAUAGGGACAAUUGGGGGCAUUUGUAUCAACACGUCAGAGGUGGAAUUCUUGGAUUGUGUUGCGACAAACUACUGCGAAAGCAUUUGCCAAGGAUGUUUUCAUUGAUCAAGAACGAAAGUAAGGGGAUCGAAGACGAUUAGAUACCGUCGUAGUCUUUACCAUAAACUAUGCCGACUAGAGAUGGGGCAUCGUUCACUUACGACUUGCUCCGCAUCUUAUGAGAUAUCAAAGUCUUUGGGUUCCGGGGGGAGUAUGGUCGCAAGUCUGAAACUUAAAGGAAUUGACGGAAGGGCACCACCAGGAGUGGAGCCUGCGGCUUAAUUUGACUCAACACGGGGAAACUCACCAGGUCCAGACAUAAUAAGGAUUGACAGAUUGAUAGCUCUUUCUUGAUUUUAUGGGUGGUGGUGCAUGGCCGUUCUUAGUUCGUGGAGUGAUUUGUCUGCUUAAUUGCGUUAACGAACGAGACCUUAACCUGCUAAAUAGGAGCGCAUAUCUCCGGAUAAGCG
rnacentral:rRNA from 1 species